rnacentral:rRNA from 1 species
UACAGAGACUGCAAGCGUUAUUCGGAUUCACUGGGCGUAAAGGGUGCGCAGGCGGCCGUGUGUGUGGGGCGUGAAAGCCCGGGGCUUAACCCCGGAAUUGCACCUCAAACUACAUGGCUAGAGCAUUGGAGAGGGUAGCGGAAUUCACGGUGUAGCAGUGAAAUGCGUAGAUAUCGUGAGGAACACCAGAGGCGAAGGCGGCUACCUGGACAAUUGCUGACGCUCAGGCACGAAAGCGUGGGGAGCAAAAGGG